rnacentral:rRNA from 1 species
AUUGAACGCUGGCGGCAUGCCUUACACAUGCAAGUCGAACGGCAGCACGGGAGCUUGCUCCUGGUGGCGAGUGGCGAACGGGUGAGUAAUAUAUCGGAACGUACCCUAGAGUGGGGGAUAACGCAGCGAAAGUUGCGCUAAUACCGCAUACGAUCUACGGAUGAAAGUGGGGGAUCGCAAGACCUCGCGCGAUUGGAGCGGCCGAUAUCAGAUUAGGUAGUUGGUGAGGUAAAGGCUCACCAAGCCGACGAUCUGUAGCUGGUCUGAGAGGACGACCAGCCACACUGGGACUGAGACACGGCCCAGACUCCUACGGGAGGCAGCAGUGGGGAAUUUUGGACAAUGGGCGCAAGCCUGAUCCAGCAAUGCCGCGUGCAGGAUGAAGGCCUUCGGGUUGUAAACUGCUUUUGUACGGAACGAAACGGUGAGCUCUAAUACAGUUUGCUAAUGACGGUACCGUAAGAAUAAGCACCGGCUAACUACGUG